AAAAAAGGAAAAUCAGGGAUCUAAAUUGUUUCCUGCUACAAAAAAAUAGUUUUAAAGAGAAUAAUAGUGUUUAUUGGUAGAUAGUGAGAGAUUAUAUGAGCGAGACAGAGGGAAUUGUUAGAGUGCUUGAAGCAGAUCUCAGCAUCUUCAAAUUAAAUAUGCAGUGAGAGAUAAAACGCUUUGUAAUCUGGGCCAAAUUAGCACUCAUGGAUGGUAUCAGUUGCCUGCAAUUGUAUUUCUCUGACAGCAUGCUGACUGUACCUGUAAGGGGAGUCUACAACUACCCAGAUAGAGAAAGAUUAGAAGUAUAAAUCUGCCUAUCUAACUAAUCAAGAGAGACUCUUGGCAAUUCAAAAAGAAACAAACACUGGAUACAAAGUAUUAAGAUAUAGAUAGAGAAUAACAAUGUCGCUGCCACAGGGAAUUAAACAAUGUAUAAAUAUCUGUGUUUGGGAAAAAUGUAAUAAAAUCACUAGAUGGCGCUCCAGUGACACCUACAAGCAGUAGUAGAGUUAUACAUCUGUUAAAAUAGAAUGCGCCACAAAAACUUACCCUAUCAAUCUAAAUCACGGGUCUCAAAGUAAUUUGUUUUGGUGGGCCAAAUUGUUGACUGAAAUGGGUAUGGAGGACCGAAUGUAUAAAAUAUAUACAUGUCCGCAAACAUGUGAAAAAGCAAUCUAAAUUGUUUCUUACUAUAAAAAUGAGUUAGCAUAAAUAGAACGAUGGGAGUGAAGAUUUUAUAAAUAUACAUAUCAAUGUUCCAUAGAACAAUACACCAGAGUGGCAUGCAGCCAUUUUGAACAGGCAAUUCCUGGAAGCUUGAACGUGUUUGUCUACCUACUUUUUUGCUGUCACUCUAUUAUUGGAUGGAUUUCUGAAUCUGAUCUAUUCCGCUAUCUGGAGUAUAUGUCUAAUUUCUAGUAGGAAGUGGACGAUAUUAUGCCAGCUUACUCAUUUGUCUUCAAUUAACAGCAGGUAAGACUCGCCUACACUAUAAUCACCUGCCUGACAUCAUGCAGGACCCCCUAGUACAGCCAAACAGCUCUGAUGCGUGCAGGCAUGGACUCUACAAGACCUCUGAAUGUGUCCUGUGGGAUCUGGCACCCUUACAGCACAUUAUAUAAGUUCUAGGCAUGUGCAUGGGGAAAAAUUUCGGUUCGGUUUGGUAUUCCGAAAUUCGGAACUUCGGCAUUUCGGGACUUCAGCACUUCUCUUGCAGCCGCUUAGUAGAUAACUCCCUAAUUGCCACAGUAUUAGGGAGUUAUCUACCAAAAGGCUGAAAGACCUAAAUUGGUCUUUAAGACAAAUUUACUAAUACUAAGUAAAAAAUUACUUAGUAUUAGUAAAUUGUGCCCCUACUCGCUAUACUGCAAGUAGGGGCAUGUCUAUUAAACAGUGAGCAGCCAGUGGUUGCUCACUGUUUAAAAAAAAAAAAAAAGUGUCCCCUCUUCCGAGCCCCCACCCGUGCCGCGCGACUGGGGGCUUAUGCAAGUCUGAGUUUUAAAAGCUCCCUACUGCAAUCCAGAACAUAGCUCAGAUCACCUCCAGCCGAAGCUGUGCCUUAUGCAAGGUAGACAAUGGAGGACUCUAUCAACCCCUAAUACUGGACGCUGUCACGUUAUUGCAAUUUAACUACUUGUAUAUUUUUUAAACAUUGUAUCUUUAACUACUAUUUCUUUGUCACUGUAACAUACCUGGG